ensembl:snoRNA Gm23670 predicted gene, 23670
CCUGCCCCUAGAGGCAAUGCAGGUGUGGUUGUUGUGUCACAUGAGUAUCAGUAGGUGACAGACUAUGUCCAUGCUGUGUUCUGAUCUAGGAACUUCUGAGUGAUUAGUAGUCUAAUAUU